CCCUUAGAUGUCCGGGGCCGCACGCGCGCUACACUGAAGGAAUCAGCGUGGCUUUCUCCCUGACCCGAAAGGGUUGGGAAACCCGUUGAAUCUCCUUCGUGAUAGGGAUUGGGGCUUGAAAUUGUUCCCCAUGAACGAGGAAUUCCCAGUAAGCGCGAGUCAUAAGCUCGCGUUGAUUACGUCCCUGCCCUUUGUACACACCGCCCGUCGCUACUACCGAUUGAAAGGUUUAGUGAGGGCCUCGGAUUGGUCUCGGCCCGCUCUUUACCGGGCGGCGCCGUUGGUCGAGAAGACGCUCGAACUUGAUCGUUUAGAGGAAGUAAAAGUCGUAACA
rnacentral:rRNA from 1 species